GAUGAACGCUGACAGAAUGCUUAACACAUGCAAGUCCACUUGAACUUCGGUUUGGGUGGCGGACGGGUGAGUAACGCGUAAAGAACUUGCCUCACAGAUAGGGACAACAUUUGGAAACGAAUGCUAAUACCUGAUAUUAUGAUUAUAUGGCAUCGUAUAAUUAUGAAAGCUAUAUGCGCUGUGAGAGAGCUUUGCGUCCCAUUAGCUAGUUGGAGAGGUAACGGCUCACCAAGGCGAUGAUGGGUAGCCGGCCUGAGAGGGUGAUCGGCCACAAGGGGACUGAGACACGGCCCUUACUCCUACGGGAGGCAGCAGUGGGGAAUAUUGGACAAUGGACCAAGAGUCUGAUCCAGCAAUUCUGUGUGCACGAUGAGGUUUUUCGGAAUGUAAAGUGCUUUCAGUUGGGAAGAAAAAAAUGACGGUACCAACAGAAGAAGUGACGGCUAAAUACGUG
rnacentral:rRNA from 1 species